rnacentral:lncRNA from 1 species
UGGGUACUUAAACUGUCUUUUCCUAAAACUCAGCUUUCUUACCCAUUGUAAAGUCAUAUUUUUACAGGGGUAAUUUUAAUAUCUCAUGGAGUUAGUGUGAGGAUUUUAUAGAAAAAUAUAUCUCUUUCUUAUUCAGCGAUAUUUAUUGAGUCUCUACCAUGUCCUAGAUGCUAAUUCCCAAAUAAUAUUGAUAAGAACCUCUAGAUGGGGAUUUCAUGUCUGUCUGGUGCUGUCAUUCAUUUUUAACAAACAUGUAUUACUUGUAUCUCUCUCUCUCUCUCUCUCUCUCUCUCUCUCUCUCGUUUUCAGAUGGGGUCUCACUCUGUUGCCCAGGCUAGAGUGUAGUGGUGCAAUCUCGGCUCACUGCAACCUCCACCUUCCAGGUUCAAGCAAUUCUCCUACCUCAGCCUCCCGAGGACAGGCAUGCACCAUCAUUUUUGUAUUUUUCAUAGAGACGGGGUUUCACCAUUUUGCCAGGCUGGUCUCGGACUCCUUACCUCAGGUGCCUUGUGUGUCAUGGUCCUGCAAGUUCUGACUCCCAGCAAUCUGGAAACCGCUCCACAAAAUCUAUAUUUCUUCCAGAUAUUUUGGUAGAUUUCUCUGGUCACUUGUUUGGAAGUAAGAAGAAAGGUUAGCUAGUACAUAACAUUGGAGCAACCCAGACAAACGGCUUGAAGCUUCAUUGCCUCCUCAGUAAACUAGAGGUAUGAUUGUGCUGUGCUUGUCUCACAAAAUACUGAGAUAACAGUUUAGAUUAUCUAUCUCCUCCUCCCCAGCUUUAUUUGUGUUUAAUUGACAAAUAAACUCUUUAUUAUUAUUGUUCAUUUUUGUAGAGACAGGGUCUUUCUAUGUUGUCUCAGCCUCCCAAAGUGCUAGGAUUACAAGCGUGAGCCACCGCACUCAGCCAAUACUGUACUUUUGGUCCACGGUUUGUUGAAUCCACAGAUACGGAACCUGAGGACAUGAAGGGCCGAGGGUACUGACUGAUCUCACAUAUAAGUUCCUGAUGUCAGUGAGAAAACUUCGCUUUUCUCAUCAUUAAGUGGAUGUUUGUUGUAGGUUUUAGUAAAUAUUAUUGAUCACAUUGUGGAUGUCCC